rnacentral:lncRNA from 1 species
AGAAGGAAUGAAAUACAGAUACGUGCUACAAGGGGGGUGAACCUUGAAAACAUUAUGCCAAGUGAAGAAGCCAGACACAAAUGGUCACAUAUGGUAAGAUUCUAUUUAUAUGAAAUAUCCAGAAUAGGUAAAUCCACAGAAACAAAAAGCAGACCGGUUAUUGCCAGGGUCUUGGGGGUGGUGUGGAGGAAUAGGAGUGACUGCUAAGGAGCAAAGGGUUUCCUUUUGAGGCGACAAAAAAUGUUUGGAACUUGAUAUAGAUGGUGGUUGCACAAUAUUGUGAAGGCAUUAAAUGCCACUCAACUUAUGCUUUAAAAUGGUUAAUUUUAUGUUAUAUUCUGUUUCAAAAUGUUAAAAAGGGGUGUGGGGGAGACAGAAGGCCCCCAGGUUCUUUUCCUGAUUACCGAGGUUCAGGGUCCAGCCUGGGAAAGGAGAGGAAGGAGGAACUCACAAUUAAUGAACUCCCCAGAUGUGCCAGGACCAGUGCUAGGUCUUCUACCUGCCUUAAUUCAUUAAAUUUUCCCACUUUGCCAGACACAGUACCACUUGCUUUGUGUUUAUUGCAACUCUGGUUGAUUCUCCCAACAACUCUGAGAAGCAGAUGGCAGGGCUAUUAUUCCCACUUUAUAGAUGGGGCAGCUGAGGCUCUUGUGUGUCAGGACCUGGUUUGGAACCCAAGCCUGUCUGACCACAGAGCUUCAGACUCUCAUAUCAGCAGGUGUCCCUAAGGGCAUCAGUGAAAGUCACAGCCAAUACUCUUAUAGCCGCAGCCACAACCAGCAGGGUUACUGGAGGGAAAGGGGAGGGAAAGAGGGUGUUGCAUUGCUUAGUUGUGUUUAUCUCUCAGCUCCCCUUCCCUGUCCUCUAAUCAACAGGGUAGAAAUAUGGCCCCUUAAGUGUGAGUAUCAUCCUCCACAACAGUGGAGACAGCAGCUUAUUCAUCUGAAGACAGAAAACUUGCCUUGGCAGCCUGAGGCCUGGGAGUUAUGUCAGAACUUUCAGAAUGGUUGGCGGUGCCUUUGCCUGUGCUGGUCCAGGUUCUACGUCGACUUGGAGAAGCUUUUUACUGCGUCCACUGAGGGACGCCCAGAUUCCUCAGAGGGAAGUCGGGUGUGCCGGCUGGAGCACAGCAGGGGUCAGAAGGGGCCUGCCUGGCUUCCACCACAGCAGUGAGUAUCAUUGUCCUUCACAGGCCUUCUCUCCUCGCAGGGCCUCAGUUACUUUGUCUCUGUGGAAUAAGGGGGGUUGUACUUCCAACUCUGAAAUGUCGAUGAUUCUCCCUCAACACCUUGACAUUUGCUGAGGAACUUGGCAAUGGGAUGCGGAUAUAGGUGUCCCUAAAAGCAGUGCAUGAAUCAGAUCCUCAUUAUGAAACCACACUUGUGUAAAGCAGAGAGCCAUGGUGUAAUGUGAAUAACCAGCCUCUAAUUCAUCACAAGCUUGUAGAUGUUUAUAGAAGCCCAGAAGGAAGAGAAAGAAGAAAGGAAGGAAGCAAGAGACGGGGGAAAGGAUGGAAGGGGUUAGGAGCAGGCACUUGGGAGUCAGAGGUUGUCAGUUUGGAGUUGGUGUCUCUGCUCUUCCAGCAUGACCUUGGAGAAGUCACUUGACCUCUCUCAGCUUCCAUGUUCUCAUCUGUAAAAUGGGGAAACAAGUACCCACCAAAUAAAAUAACCUAUUUGAAGGGCUUACCAGUCCUGGGCACUUAAUAAACUCAAUCAAAUAUAAAUUAUUAAACAAAGAAGGAGAGAGUAAAAACAAAGAAUUGAAGGAGCGUUUUGGGGAGGACAGGAAACCCUGAUUGAACCACACUAAGCAUGGGCCUGGUAUUCUCAGCCACACAACCACAAGGAACAUACCCAGAAUCAUAGAAAGGUUGAAACUGAAGGGAAGGACUGAUUUCUCCUUUUCUUUCUCAAAUUUGGGGAUGUGAAGUGAAGAGGUAGACAUGGGGAUCCUCUUUAGGCCACCCCAGAUUCCAGUUGCUGCUGCUUAUAUUGCUUUGAAAUACACCCCAAAACAAUCAGCAUACAUCAUCCAGAAAAGCGCAUUCCCUGCCCCACAUAGACAUAAGCUCUUGUGUAUGCACUCUCACAAGAUAUUUCAAAACGCUCACUCGCUCCUUGUCCCACACACUCACAUGCAUCCCCAACAAGAUUUGAGCAGCAAGGUCAAUGCUUCUCCUUGUGAAUUACCCUUUUAUCACUUUGAAUUGAUUAUCUUAGCAUUAUUUCCCUCCCCCACUCCCAAUGACAUCCCCACCUCUCAGACUGGGUCCAGUUCCUCUGUCCCGGGCUAUCAAAGCCCUGUGCUCCUUUCUUGCAUGGCUCUCAGCAUAGUUUAUCGUCACACAUGGAUGUGCACAAUUAUUUGAUUUGUGUCUACUUCCCCUCCUAGACUUGCUUCUGCUUCAAGGCUUCAGGAAUCAAGUCUGUUUGGCUCAUCCUGCACCUAGCACCACGGCUGGCAAACAGUAACAGUUUAAUAAAUACACAUGGAAUGUUGAAAUGAAUGAAUGAGCACAUAAUAAUGAGUCUUUUCUAACUCAAGGCCUCAACACCUCAGACCCCAUCCCUGACCCUGCCUUGCUGCAGGGACCUUGACCUUGUAUGAUACCCCAGCCUCUGCUCUGAGUCCAGGGCCUCUGCCCUCUGCCUCUGCUCUUUAGCUUCCUUGGCCAGGUGAGGCCCACUUUCUGGAGUCCAGACAGCCUCCUCUUUUCUUCAGCAGUGAAGCUUACGGCCUCUCUUCCAGAAGGGUGGGCAGGGAUCCCACCUUAGCAUUCCCCAGCUCUGAGCUGGGGUCACAGUUAGGAUACAACUACUUCAAAGGGGUCUUCAGGCCAGUGAACCCUCUGACCCUUUUCUGACCUCCCCGCCUUUUUCUACCUGCCAAACUCAGCACUUUCCCUCCCUUCCUUUAUGCCCUUGACUCAAGCCUCGGAUUCAUUUUUUAAAAUAUUUACAUUUCCACCCUUCUUCAGGGGACUCUGUCUCUCUAAUAAAUAGAACAUGAGCAGCUGCUCUCACCUGACCCUGCAGCAGCACUGGGGGUGGUGGGGAGCCCUGGCUGCUGCCAUUCCUCUCCACGCAGGCGCCCUGGUCAGACCCGCUUCUUCCACGCUGCCCUGACGGCCACCCACCCCCAGUCAUUGUCUGAUCCCACUCCCAGGAGCCCAGCGGAGCCCUGCCCUCCCCCUCAUUAAAUCAGUGGCCAUGCUCCUAGAGAUGCGACAGAGGCAGCUGCCUGGCUUCCCAGACCCUUGUGGGCCCAAGGGGUUGAUUAGCAUAUUGUUGUAAGGAAAGAAGCCUGGAGUAAUCCUUUUUCCUAUUGAUGGUAAAUAACAUUACCUGAAGGUUCCUCCACCCCUCCAGCCGGCCAAAAGCAGCCAGAGAAAGCUCUGAUUCUCCUCUCCUGUUCUCUCCCUCGUCCCCAACUCCCCUCCUCCUCCCCCUCUCCCUCUCACCUCCUUUCCCCCCCUCCAUUACUCUUCUCCCCAGCCCCCUUCUAUCUUCACCUUAGCUCCCUCCUCUUUUAAAAAAUGCAAACACAGGAGCCACCAGGAAGCAGCUCAUCGUCUCCUCUGAAGAGGCCAGGCUUCUGCCUCCCUUACAGCUGGGGGCGCCUUCGCAGGACCAGUGCUUUGCUCUGCCUGGAAAGCCAUGGGAAUGACAAAUCUUUGGACAAAUUACUGAUUUCUCAUCUAAUUUACAUCCAAUUAGUGUGAGUGAAAUGAAUCAUGUGGUCAGCCCCUCAGGGGAAACAUUGAGAUAACAAAUACCCAGGGCUUCUUUCCUGGGGAACUGAC